rnacentral:tRNA from 2 species
UGUCCAGUAGUUCAGUGGUAGAAUGCCGGUCUGUUAAACCGAGGGUCGCUGGUUCGAAUCCAGCCUGGACAG